rnacentral:lncRNA from 1 species
CAGAAGAGUUAGAUAGAGAAGCCUCCUUUAUGUGAGGAGAGGAAGGUUUCACCCAUCUGUCUGGGAAGAUGAUCCAAUUUUGGUGCUUUUAUCAUCAAUGCUUUCAGCAACUUUGUUCUACUUCCCCUACUGUAAUUACUUUUGAAUCAUCAACGCACCCAGACAGCCUUAAACCUCAGAGAACAGAAUGCUAAAAAAAGAAAAAAAAAACCCGCAAUGGCAAGGCAUGGAGAUGGGAUGUUGUGGAGAGGACGGAGUGGGGAGAAGAAGGAACUCCAAAAGGAGCCAAUUAAAACAUCUGCUUC